UCUCGUCAGGGACACACUGUAUCUGCAGCCCAUUCCAAGCAGGAGCUGUAACCUCCACCAACUUCAAAUAUAAGUAUGACAAAAAGCACAAGGCAGACACACAGACCCUACUCUCCCAGACGGACUUCAGCACAGCUGGGAAACGGGUGCGAGGGAGACCAGCCAACAGAUCUGGAAACUUAAGGGCCAGAAAGUACAAAUCCAGACCAAAGUUUUGUUUCAACCAACCAAUUGAGUACACUGUAACUGUGACUCUUUACACUCAGCUGGUUGGUUGAAACAAAACCUUGGUCUGGAUUCGUACUGCAUUCUGAGAACAGGGCUCCUUACAGCGGCUACUGCUCACAAACACAGAAAGAGCACAGAGUGAAUGAAACCCCUCUGUCCCCAAGGACCUGAAGCCCCCUUCCUGCUCCAGAACACUGGAACUGGAAAAAGAUCCCUGAAACCAAGCCUGAGGAACAGCGAGAUGAGAUACCCCGUGUCAGGCUUUCGGCCUACCCCAGAGGAGUCUGGCCCCUGAAGCAGGCCCCUCUAGCUGUGUGUGUAAGUGAAUCCCACCACCUACACUGUGCAACACUGCACUGACCAAGCAGCUUGCUAGUGCUGCAUAUGUAGGCUGUGACACGGAGAAGCUGGAAUGUGUGUGCAGACUGCGAUGAGGGCCGGAAUGACCACACACCCCCCAUCUGGGCAGGAGAAUCAGGAUGCCUAUAUCGCAGCGCUCAGUUUGAGCUGGAUUGGGCAGGGCCUGGGCGGGGAAAGGGGGGGCUGCAAGCUGCAGUAGAGUUUAAUGGAGGGAGAAGUAUAACUCAAUGUCACUGUUAGGAGGCAAUUCCUGUAGGUGGCCAGGACUCACGUAAGGAAACUUAUGGUGGUUUGAUUUAGCUCACGUUCUGCUGAAGUAGAUGCUAGUGCACAAUGUGCUCAAUUAACCAUCAACUGGAUCAACAGCAGGCAGGUGACACUGUUUAAGGUCCCUGCUCUCCUAUGAUGCGCAGAUCACCAUGGACAUUUCCAACCUUUCCAUACCGGCUGUGAGAAGAAACCAGUGACUAAAACAGCAGGUGUAGAAACUAACAGUCAUAGCGAUACCUCAUUCAUCCCUGUGCAGAUGGAUUUAUUAUCAGUUGGUGAAUUAAUCAAUUGGGACCAGGUAUUUCUUUUUUGCAGCAUCUGAAGUUAAUAGAAUAAAUUAUUUUUGUACAAUAAAGUGCUGGAACUGGAUUUUGUCCAAUUCCACACUUGCAAGGAAUGCAGAACACAUCACCGUGCACGUGAUUCAUAUCCCAAGCUGCACUGCUCAAAGAACGCAUCACCGUGCAUGUGAUUCAUGUCCCAAGCUGCACUGCUCAAAGAACGCAUCACCGUGCAUGUGAUUCAUGUCCCAAGCUGCACUGCUCAAAGAACGCAUCACCGUGCAUGUGAUUCAUGUCCCAAGCUGCAAUGCUCUAAGAACACAUCACCGUGCAUGUGAUUCAUGUCCCGAGCUGCACUGCUCUAAGAACGCAUCACCGUGCAUGUGAUUCAUGUCCCGAGCUGCACUGCUCUAAGAACACAUCACCGUGCAUGUGAUACAUGUCCCAAGCUGCACUGCUCUAAGAACACAUCACCGUGCAUGUGCUUCAUGUCCCAGGCUGCACUGCUCUAAGAACACACUACAGAUCCUGUUCUCUGUUCAUGUUCAAUGACAGCAUGCAGUGGUCACACCACAAAGGUGUAUGUGCUCCUCUGGGCUGUAGUAAUGGUGCUGGCCCCUCACUGUCACCAAAGCAACCAGAAAAUUGCCGUUACCUCCUCAAAGUAAAUACGUACAUCAAGGAAGCACAGUCGAUCAGAAUUUCAGUGGUUCUGGGACCUGUUACUUCUGCAAAAAUUUUUAUCAGCAGCAUGAAAAUAAUCCAUGACCGUAAUAAGGUACUAAUAACAGGGUUAUUCCUGUCUGCCUGAUAAAAACACAAAGAUAUUGAAGAUCUUUAAAGUUUUGGGGAACAUACGUUUAAUGAGUAAAUAGAACAAGCUGCUCAUUGACCAUAUCUGGGCCAAAUCCAAAUUAAAUUUAAAGAAGAUGUAGGGAUCCCGAAGACAGACGCCGAAUGGCAGCAACUCAAACAGAAAUCUCUGGUCCAAUGGUCCAGCAGCACAGACAAACAGGGGCGUGGCCAACAGCUCCAUGCAGCACAAUGACGGCACGACGCCAGAAACAGACCUCAUCCUACACCAUCAUCCCUAACAGCCCUUGGCUCAACACUUGGCAGUAACACUGAAAUAAAACUAAGUGUUGGAGAUACUUAAAGGAGGGCACUUUCCUGGGGAGGUGCAGUCACACCUCCUGAGCGAGCAGCUUAACCCCUCUGCUAGUCACCACGUCUAGGUUAAGAACAGCUGAAGUGUUACUUUCAAACUAACUAUUCUCAUUUCAUCCAGCAAGCUGCUCACUACAUAUGAAAGAUGGGUGGGUGUCUUUAUUUUGGAGUCUUAUGUUCCAUCCAGUUUGACGAGUUCUAAUAUACUUCAUUGAUAGUAUGAUUAAAAGGUUUAUUGGUCCAGGCUGCAUGCACCUCCAUCAUUCUCUUCUCAGCCCAGUACCUUCACUAAAGACAAGCAGUGCACAGUGAAUAUGAAACCGAACACAGAGUAAAAUGCUAUACAGUAAAUCAAACAUAACCAAUAAAAAUCAGCACUUUUCAGUUUAAAAAUCCAAAAAUAGGGAUGAUUAAAUUGUCCAUAGGUGUGAAUGGUGGGCCUGUGUGUUUUUACCUGUCAGUUUAUGCAUGUCUCUGCAUGUGUGCCCUGUGAUGGGUUGGUGCCCCAUCCUGGGUUGUUCCCUGCCCUGUGCCUGUAGCCUCCGGGAUAGGCUCCGGACCACUGCGGGACACUGGCGUGCUCAGGUACCAGUCAUGCUCAGUCAGUGUUUUAUUCAGUCAGGCCACAGCCAGGCCGCUAGGCACAGGCCAGUCAAAGUAACUAUGGCAAUUCAAAAUCAUUGUAUUUCAAGGGUUCCUCUUUCUCUCUAUGGUAAUAAAGGCAUGGCUUUCCUUUUUACUAAAUACCUAGAAAAAUCAUUGGUCACAUUCCGUACUUCCCGAUUAAAUAAGCGAGAAAAGUUUAAAAGACAUACCGGACAGGCGCUAAGAGCCGCAGGUUCCCUCGGACCGCACCCGGGCCAGGAGCCGCACUUCCCGCGAAAUGGCAGCGCCGAGUCCCAGCGGGGCGCAGCCCAGGUUCCCGGAAGCUCGCAGGUGUGUGUAGGUGCGACUGCGGCUCCGGGCGACGCUGUUUGCCUGCGGUGUUUCACACGUUACCCUGUGAGUAAACGUUGAUCACCCUUAUUGUGUCCGGUUGGUACAUUUAACAGCUUCUGAAAUACUUUGCAGGGGGGCUACAACAAUAUUUAUAUUAAAAAAAGAAAAAAGGAAAGAAAAAAAAACAGAACAAAAGACGAUCGCACAGUAGAGAAGAUCAGCGGGAGGAGCCGACCUAAGCCGGCUGGACUGGUUUCUGCUUGUGGAGCCCGGGGCAGCGUCCAACAAGCCCGAACUCAUCUGCUGCUACGGUGCUCAGAUACCGGUCCUGCUGCCAGCGGGAGGCGUUUGCAAAAUGAUAUGUGACGAAUCCCUACAGUUACUUAAUUUUGUUUCUGGACAUGGCUAUUUUGUCCCUGUGGUACACACACACACACACACACAAACACGGAGAGAGCGAGAGAAGGAGAAGGAUUUGAAAUGCCUAAUGUUUUCUCAACUUUCUUGCACAAUCAACCAUUUCUAAUCGUCGUUAUCGCACACCAGAGGUGUAGGGGUGGUUAAAUGCAUGUAUAUGGUCUGUACCCACCUAAAAAUUGUAUGUAGUGUAACAGGAUACCAUCCUACCUACCACCACACUCAGCAUAAACACUCAUGUUUGCAAACGUGGUCCUGUAUCAAAUCUGAUCGGAAUGAAGAUUAGUGGUAUCAUAACAUGGUUUCGUAACAUGUUUGUGAAGUUUUUGAAAAGAUCUGACAGACACGAUGCAUCAUUCUUCUGACUGCUCCACUCUCGGUUACUGCUAAUUGAAAUACUGUGAAGUAAACUGUGCAAAUAAAAUACUGCAUUUUCCAAA